rnacentral:rRNA from 1 species
UACGGAGGGUGCAAGCGUUAAUCGGAAUUACUGGGCGUAAAGCGCACGUAGGCGGCUAUUUAAGUCGGAUGUGAAAGCCCUGGGCUUAACCUGGGAACUGCAUCCGAUACUGGGUAGCUAGAAUGUGGGAGAGGAGAGUGGAAUUUCCGGUGUAGCGGUGAAAUGCAUAGAGAUCGGAAGGAACACCAGUGGCGAAGGCGGCUCUCUGGACCAACAUUGACGCUGAGGUGCGAAAGCGUGGGUAGCAAACAGG